AAAGAAAAAAAAGUCACACCUCGUUUUCGUUUUUUCGUUAACGAUAAUAACAGUGGUCGAAAGGCAGGCAGGCAGGGUCAAAACAGAGGUAAAUCGGGGUAACUGGGAAAACGGCUGGAAAACUCGGCAAAACACACAAGACAAUCUGGCAGGGAACAACAGAAUGUGACGGGCUUAAAUAGUGAGUGGCUGAUGAGGGGAUGUGCUUCAGGUGAGAGCAAGGAGAACCAGCCAGCGCCCUUUGCUUCGCUCAUUCUCCCCCGAGCCCAAGCCGUUCCUGGCAGGAUGGAGAGAUCGGACGAACAGCCCGGACUCGGACCCUCCACCUCGCUGCAGCAGUUAACGUCGGCCUCCGUGAAGUGCAGCGAAACCACAUCAGCCCAAGACAACUUUUACAAGCCCUGUGCUGUCCGUCCUGCCCUCCAUCACACCGCCCCUUUUCUCCCAAAGGCAACGUUCCCCAUCCCAGAACCCUCCCCUAGGACCCAUUGGCACUCUCGGGUUGAGGUUUUACUUUCAGAAAUUUGUUCUUUUUUUACGGACAGCUGCUCCAGAGACAGAAACCAUUUUAACGGGAAGGAGCUAACGAUCAGCAAUAUUUACAACUUUGCCAGCUUGGAAUCUUAACCAACAAAUAUAUGACUUGAGGUUUAAAUUUGAGGUUUGUUCUCUGAUUUAAAUGCCAAAAAUAUUCAAACUGCUAGACAGCUUCUGGCUGUAUUGAAAUGUUUGGUGUGUGCUUUCAGUCUGUCAGAAGAGGAGGGAAAGUUACACACAUGCAGACCUUUACAUUGGCUUUUGAAUUAUUGCAAGUCUAUUAACAAGGGUUAAUGAUAUUUUUUGUUAAUCAUCACAAAUUAAGACCACUUUUAUCAUUUCUAAAGCAAUUAAAAAUCUAUGGUUGGCUGUAAACAAACUACAGCAUGGUUUAUUUAAGUUCUUAAGGUUGUGUUAACCACAAACUUUAUUUCAGUCAUCCAGCCAAAAAAAACACUGACUUUGAGACAAGGAAAACAGUCCGCAUAAAUCCCUCAGCAGCGUAUCGUAAACCAACCAACGAUCGUCUCUGCGCUCACAGCAGCUCCCAGUGUGCUUCACGGUUCCCUUAAAAUGGAUGGAGCAGCAUUCCACGCGAUCAUCUGCAGAGAUGUGCAAUAGGGAACAAGAGCACUUCUAUUUUUUCUCUUCCAUUCUCCUCUUCCUCCUCUUCUAUCACUCCCAUUCAUUUGUUUACUUUAUGUGUCCAUUCAGACGUGUAGGCCACACCAGAGUCGUGAAGCUCAACUCUUUAUCUGUCCAUCACUUCUCAUAAAAGUCUUAUUCGUCCCAGUAAAACUCAAGAUCCUUCCUUAGUGGUUUUACAUUUUGGCAGGGAUCCCUGUUAAUAAUUUGUUGCCAUGUAUCUUUCAAUCAUCCUCCGAGUACUACGUCCAUCUUGUUUCAAUCAGCGCUCGGAGCGGGUGAUUUGAUGCACAGAUUGUUGAAGAUUGGGAUUUAGAAUACUGUGUGUGCAUAAUGCAUGUUGACCUGUGGCUCAAAUUGUCACCACCUGUGUCACGUUGCUUUUCCAAAUUUGACGCUACAACGAAUCGUUACGGCAUUUUGUGAAUCCCUCAUGAAUCUUCCCCCCACUUCCCCCAUAAGUACAGUCAAAAGAGGGGUUGCUUGUAGCAAUAAACCCACAGGAAAUGAUCAUGUGAAUGUGCAGCUCCCAUCACCUCACUGAACUUUAAAGUGUGUUUCAUUGUUCUGCUGUCUGGCAGAAGGAUUACUGUUGUGGUUCACUGUCACCUCUCAGGCCUCACAAAGGUCGUUUCAAGGCUCAUCAGGCAGCUGUUUUCAGAGAAAGAAGCUAUCAAAACUGUACUAUAUGCAUUCAGCAGCCAGAUAUUUGCAUCAGGAGUGGGUAGUGACCAAAAAAAGCGCUACAGGAAGAAGAAAUAUAUAUCGGACAAUAUCAAUGUUCAGAACUUGUUUUCUGCUUCUCCCUAAAUAGUCAACUUUUACAUCUUUCCGUGACUUUAAUUGAGUUUUAUGAGAGGCUAAACCCAUCAAUUAUAAUUUAGUUGUAAUGCAAGAUCAGCUAAAAACAUU
ensembl:lncRNA